rnacentral:rRNA from 1 species
AGAGUUUGAUCAUGGCUCAGGACGAACGCUGGCGGCGUGCUUAACACAUGCAAGUCGAACGAUGAGGCCUUUCGGGGCUGAUUAGUGGCGAACGGGUGAGUAACACGUGGGCAACCUGCCCUCCACUCUGGGAUAACUCCGGGAAACCGGGGCUAAUACUGGAUACGACCUGCCCUCGCAUGGGGGUGGGUGGAAAGUUUUUCGGUGGAGGAUGGGCCCGCGGCCUAUCAGCUUGUUGGUGGGGUGAUGGCCUACCAAGGCGGUGACGGGUAGCCGGCCUGAGAGGGCGACCGGCCACACUGGGACUGAGACACGGCCCAGACUCCUGCGGGAGGCAGCAGUGGGGAAUAUUGCACAAUGGGCGAAAGCCUGAUGCAGCGACGCCGCGUGAGGGAUGACGGCCUUCGGGUUGUAAACCUCUUUCAGCAGGGACCAAGCUUUCGGGUGAGUGUACCUGCAGAAGAAGCACCGGCUAACUACGUGCCAGCAGCCGCGGUAAUACGUAGGGUGCGAGCGUUGUCCGGAUUUAUUGGGCGUAAAGGGCUCGUAGGCGGCCUGUCGCGUCGGAAGUGAAAGCCCACUGCUUAACGGUGGGUCUGCUUCCGGUACGGGCAGGCUGGAGUAUGGCAGGGGAGACUGGAAUUCCUGGUGUAGCGGUGGAAUGCGCAGAUAUCAGGAGGAACACCGGUGGCGAAGGCGGGUCUCUGGGCCAUUACUGACGCUGAGGAGCGAAAGCGUGGGGAGCGAACAGGAUUAGAUACCCUAGUAGUCC